AGGGCACCACCAGGAGUGGAGCCUGCGGCUUAAUUUGACUCAACACGGGGAAACUUACUCGGCCUGGACACUGGAAGGAUUGACAGAUUGAGAGCUCUUUCUUGAUUCAGUGGGUGGUGGUGCAUGGCCGUUCUUAGUUGGUGGAGCGAUUUGUCUGGUUAAUUCCGAUAACGAACGAGACUCUAGCCUAUUAAAUAGGCUCUCGGCUUUUAAACGCCGGGAGGACUUCUUAGAGGGACAGGUGGCGGUUCAGCCGCACGAAAGAGAGCAAUAACAGGUCUGUGAUGCCCUUUGUUGUCCGGGGCCGCACGCGCGCUACACUGAAGAGAUCAGCGUGCUUUACGUUCCUGCUCCGACCGGAGUGGGGAACCCAGUGAACCUUCUUCGUGAUUGGGAUAGAAGAUUGUAAUUAUUCUUCUUGAACGAGGAAUUCCCAGUAAAUGCGAGUCAUAAGCUCGCGUUGAUUACGUCCCUGCCCUUUGUACACACCGCCCGUCGCUACUACCGAUUGAACGAUUU
rnacentral:rRNA from 1 species